rnacentral:lncRNA from 1 species
AGGGGACUUAGGAAGAUGAGAGGUGCGGGCUUGACGCCCAUGAGAAGCCCCAAAGCUGAGCCUCAGUUUCUGCCACGUGUCCAGAGCGUAGAAAAUGAUCCACAGUGGUGUAGGGAAGCCGAAUGCCUAGUGGGGAUAGGCUGAAAAAUUGUGGGGAAAAUCCCAGUCUGAGCUUCUAUGGACAGAAAAGGGCAGAAAGAGGGAGGGAGUUGGAGAGGACGGUGAACAAUAAUGACCCCGUUUCCUGAGUGCUCAUCCUGUGCCACGCAUGGAGCCGCGGCUUGACAAGCAUCUUUACUGCAACCCUAUUCCGCCAGUGAGCCUGAGACCCAGGGAGCUUAGAAACCCGGCCAGAAUCUGGCAGAGGGGGGGCCCUAACCCGCCGUCUGAGCCCACGGUGGCACCCUUAAUCACCAAGCUCCACAGUGUGGAGGACGAGAGAGUGGAACUACCGGAGAAGACACGGGGAUGCGGCUCGGAGAGAGAGGAUGGACUGAAGCGAUUUGAAAGGCAGGCCCGGAGAUGGGGACCAAAGGGCAGUUCUGCUGAUUGCCUGGCUAUUCUCGAUGUGUCCACUUCCUCCUCUUUUUUUAAGAUUCUCAGGAGCAUCUGACCAAACUGUCCAUGCAUCCUCCUUCCACUAGAACACCUUCCUGCAAGCUCGCUCCUGGAGGUUCACCCUUUACCAGACGUGGAUGAUUCUCAGAUGGGUUCAAGCUGGGACCACAUGCUCACGCACAUAUGCACAAGCAUGUGUUCACACUGUUACUACCACAUCUUCUGUAAGAGCACAGAAGAAAUAAUAAAAUUAUCCUUGAUUAAGC